rnacentral:lncRNA from 1 species
AAUGAAGGGAGAGAAAGAAUCCAAGUAAUGUUAGUCGGAGCCUCGAAGCGAUUGACAAAUGUAACGAUAUUCAUAAAAAGUAAUGACCUUGGAGUUUGAAUGAAUUAAGGGUUCGAAAUCCUCACAGUAUACUGGAAAUUCUACAACAUUUCCGUAGAAGAGUGGGGGUGUAAUCGAUGACGGUAGAGAUGAAUCCUUAAGGUUUCCUUUCAUUGAUAACAUUUUAUCAAGGACAUUGAGAAGAGUAUAAACAAUCGAUCCUCAGAAGUAGUAUCAUCUUCACAACGAUAAUAUUCAGGAAAGGCUUGGAUUAUUCUUUCUCGUAAUUCUUUUUUUUACCCGUUUUAGAGAGUUGAUGGUUUUUGCAAAUCUCACAAAGUUACAACAAUUUAUAAUCUUUCAAGUUUUCCUGGGAUGACAUGAUGCAAAUUCAAAGUUAAUAUAACAAGCAAUAAAAAUAAAUAAAGAUUACGACACAACUUAACGAUGACGUAUGAUGACGUCAGACUAAUGAUGAUCUUUUAAUCGAAAUAGUGCAGGAAAAAUUGAAUGAUGAAAAUAUUCUGAAUGUUACGGCUGUUGCACGAAAUUUACUUUUUCUCGAGAAAUAGCACAAACUAAACCCCUUACUUCGACAAGACGAAUAAUAUUAUAUGGGACGUCACUUAUAAACGAACGAACAAAUACUGAACAAAAUGAACUGGAAAUACACUAAAGAUAAUAAGAAGGAAUGGCAAAGCAAGGGGGUGAGAUCAAGUUACUGGCUGACCGGCAACAACAACACAUACAAACAACAUGAUAAUUAUGACAACUUUAACACCGAACUCUUAAAGAUGCUAGUUCCUGUACUAUACCUUAAAAAAGAACAACGGAGGUUAAAGCUAAGGAGAUUAUAAAUAGUGAGUUUAUUUAUGAAGAAUUGUCAAUAAUUAGUCAUAAUCUAAACCCAAUUACCGAAGUCAUUACCACGUUAGAAGGAAGACUCCCUUUACUUGUUAGAUUGACUAUUGUCGAACAUUUACGUGUCAAUAUCAACCUAGUGUAUUCAAAAUAUAUUAAAUACAUUUUUAGAUGAAAAUCCAGCGUACAACGAUUUGCGAGACCUACCAAGUUCUGAGGAGACAAUUUAAAGAACAUGCCUACUCUAAAUUUUGACUUAGAUAAGAUUUUCAGCAUACAGAGAACCAUUCAUACAAAAAUAAGAUCCUGUUUAUCAGUAAAAGUGUCAGUAACAAGCUAAUUAUAAAAGAGAAUAUUGAAAUAUUAGAAUCGUAAAAUAAUAUGGUCAAGAACAACGGCAUAAAUUUUCUCAAAAGAGGUCUUAGCUUCAAAUGGCGUGUAAAUAGUUUGUCUAACAUCAUUUCCUUUGUGUAGAAAAUAGGGAUUCGCAUAUAGUUAAAUUUUCAUAGUCUCCGAGAUACGGUGUUAGAGAACUACAGUAAUAUGGUGAAGAACAAUAGCAUGAAUGGUGUCAAAGGGUGUCUUAGCUUCAAAUGGCGUCUGAACUUCAAAUGGAUUAUGAACUUCAAAUGGCAUGAAAUAUUUUGUCUAACAUCAGUUUCUUCGGGUUAAGAAUUGGGGUUGCUCCAUGGAUUCCAACAUAUUGAAUUACGAUUUAUUUAAAAUAACUUUACUUAGAUGAGGAAAAAUAAGGUUUCUACAUAAAAUUUGAAGUAUGUUAGAAAAAGGACAGAUUUUAUUUCUACUCAUAAUUAGGGUAAUUUGUCCCUAAUAAUUUGUUCAAUACAUGUGUAAUAUUAAGCUUAAAUUUCGUUUCAUUUGUCCCCAAUAAUAUCUUAAAUCCAUUUUUAAUAUUUAGUGUUGUUUUUUUAUUAUUAAUUUGUUUCACUUUCUGUGUAUAGCUACUAUUAAAAUAUUAAUAUUUUUCGUUUUAA